GUGAGCAAGUCAUGUAUAAAGCAAAAACAAAAUAUUGGUUUGCUAUCAAAUGGUACAUUUAUUUGAACUCUAAGGGCAGGUUCAGGGUCUCAUGAAGAGGGCAUGUGUUUGUAUUAGAUCAGAAGGUUUUGCAGUUGACAAGCUUACAGGUUUGAGCACCCCGAACAACGGGGUGGGCCCUUUGACCUGUGGGUUCUGCUGGUACCAAGAGAAGGAGGUUCCUUUUAACCUGCAGGAGCUCUGCCAAUGGCAGCAUGCUUUCCUUGACAAUGACGUGGUACUGCACGUACGCAAGAUGCAGCGAGUGAAAUCGGCACAAGAGGGCAUCUUGCAAGCAGCACCAAAUCCUAUAUUCUGGGAACGAGUCAAAUGUGGCUCGGUGAUAGAAUUAAGCAUGGAGGAAGAUACCAGCACCAGCCCCAGCAAUAAAGACUACGGCAAUGGCAACAGCAAUGUGUCCCGGCGAGCGUGAGCAAUGGCAGCAUCAUCUCUCACUCCGUGUACCUGACCAAGAUGCUGCCCAGGUCACAUGUCAAGGACUUCCUCUUGGACGAUGCCGCCUCCUUGGCUGUUGUUGUCGUCUCCUCAAAUAAGUCGUAUCAGGUAGAGCUGAGGAUUAAGGAUUAAGUAUAAACACAAUGGAGCCCGUUGUAUAACAACGCAGAGCCGAAGGAGAUGCUAUUUUAUUGUUGCCUUAUCUUUGUCGAUGCAAUCGAAUAUGGGUCUAUUCUGGUGCCCUGUCUUCAUCGUAGCGUGUGUAUGUAACAUGGGGGCGGCCGUGAGAAUAGAUCGUCUAGACUACUUUUUCUGGGCUACUAGAAUAUACGAAGAGACAUCAAGGUCAGAAAACAAUUAGGGAGGCACUAACAUUAUGCCUUGAUUCAGAUGUUGUCAAAAAAAAUGCCUUGAUUCAGAUGGUUCCGUCGAUUUUUUGCAUUUAUUAUGGAUAAUUUGUAUUAGUUUCUUUUUGGAGUAAAAAAUGGGUUGAA